rnacentral:rRNA from 1 species
UGGGGAAUAUUGCACAAUGGGGGAAACCCUGAUGCAGCAACGCCGCGUGAGUGAUGAAGGUCUUCGGAUCGUAAAGCUCUGUCUUCAGGGACGAUAAUGACGGUACCUGAGGAGGAAGCCACGGCUAACUACGUGCCAGCAGCCGCGGUAAUACGUAGGUGGCGAGCGUUGUCCGGAUUUACUGGGCGUAAAGGGAGCGUAGGCGGACUUUUAAGUGAGAUGUGAAAUACCCAGGCUCAACCUGGGGGCUGCAUUUCAAACUGGAAGUCUAGAGUGCAGGAGAGGAGAGUGGAAUUCCUAGUGUAGCGGUGAAAUGCGUAGAGAUUAGGAAGAACACCAGUGGCGAAGGCGACUCUCUGGACUGUAACUGACGCUGAGGCUCGAAAGCGUGGGGAGCAAACAGG